rnacentral:rRNA from 1 species
GAUGAACGCUGGCGGCGUGCCUAAUACAUGCAAGUCGAACGCUUUGUGGUUCAACUGAUUUGAAGAGCUUGCUCAGAUAUGACGAUGGACAUUGCAAAGAGUGGCGAACGGGUGAGUAACACGUGGGAAACCUACCUCUUAGCAGGGGAUAACAUUUGGAAACAGAUGCUAAUACCGUAUAACAAUGACAACCGCAUGGUUGUUAUUUAAAAGAUGGUUCUGCUAUCACUAAGAGAUGGUCCCGCGGUGCAUUAGCUAGUUGGUAAGGUAAUGGCUUACCAAGGCGAUGAUGCAUAGCCGAGUUGAGAGACUGAUCGGCCACAAUGGGACUGAGACACGGCCCAUACUCCUACGGGAGGCAGCAGUAGGGAAUCUUCCACAAUGGGCGAAAGCCUGAUGGAGCAACGCCGCGUGUGUGAUGAAGGGUUUCGGCUCGUAAAACACUGUUGUAAGAGAAGAAUGACAUUGAGAGUAACUGUUCAAUGUGUGACGGUAUCUUACCAGAAAGGAACGGCUAAAUACGUGCCAGCAGCCGCGGUAAUACGUAUGUUCCAAGCGUUAUCCGGAUUUAUUGGGCGUAAAGCGAGCGCAGACGGUUAUUUAAGUCUGAAGUGAAAGCCCUCAGCUCAACUGAGGAAUUGCUUUGGAAACUGGAUGACUUGAGUGCAGUAGAGGAAAGUGGAACUCCAUGUGUAGCGGUGAAAUGCGUAGAUAUAUGGAAGAACACCAGUGGCGAAAGCGGCUUUCUGGACUGUAACUGACGUUGAGGCUCGAAAGUGUGGGUAGCAAACAGGAUUAGAUACCCUGGUAGUCCACACCGUAAACGAUGAGUGCUAGGUGUUUGAGGGUUUCCGCCCUUAAGUGCCGCAGCUAACGCAUUAAGCACUCCGCCUGGGGAGUACGACCGCAAGGUUGAAACUCAAAGGAAUUGGCGGGGACCCGCACAAGCGGUGGAGCAUGUGGUUUAAUUCGAAGCAACGCGAAGAACCUUACCAGGUCUUGACAUCCCUUGACAACUCCAGAGAUGGAGCGUUCCCUUCGGGGACAAGGUGACAGGUGGUGCAUGGUUGUCGUCAGCUCGUGUCGUGAGAUGUUGGGUUAAGUCCCGCAACGAGCGCAACCCUUAUUACUAGUUGCCAGCAUUCAGUUGGGCACUCUAGUGAGACUGCCGGUGACAAACCGGAGGAAGGUGGGGAUGACGUCAAAUCAUCAUGCCCCUUAUGACCUGGGCUACACACGUGCUACAAUGGCGUAUACAACGAGUUGCCAACCCGCGAGGGUGAGCUAAUCUCUUAAAGUACGUCUCAGUUCGGAUUGUAGGCUGCAACUCGCCUACAUGAAGUCGGAAUCGCUAGUAAUCGCGGAUCAGCACGCCGCGGUGAAUACGUUCCCGGGUCUUGUACACACCGCCCGUCACACCAUGAGAGUUUGUAACACCCAAAGCCGGUGGGGUAACCUUCGGGAGCCAGCCGUCUAAGGUGGGACAGAUGAUUAGGGUG